GUGCAUGUCCGCAUGGGAACUGUAGUUUCUACUGACGUCUGCGCGCAAAAAGCAUCAGCCGACGUCAGAAAGUGGCCUUGAUGGGAAGCUGGGUGUUCUUCCCAGCAAGUGCCGGUGAUGCCAUAUUAAGUGGGGCGGCUGAAGAUCGCGGCCUCCAUACUCGAGGGGGAAGGGAGGGCUAAAAACAGUGAGCGGCCAUAGUACUGAGGAGGUAUGGAGCUAUGAUAGCCGUGGCUGCCAUCUUGGAAGUGGGGAAAACACAGAAAUAUUGGCUAUAAGGGGAAAAAAGGGGAUUGGACACAUAUAUAAAAUAAUAACUAACACAAAUCCAGAUAGAUAUAAGGAGUCAUAUAUAAAUGGAAAACAUAAUAGCAUCAUA